ensembl:rRNA 5S_rRNA 5S ribosomal RNA
GACAUUUGGUAGAUACUGGUGAAGCCACCUGGUCCCAGCAGACCCCAGAAGGUGGCCAUAUUCCCUGGGGCUGAGGCAAGGUCCUUAAGAGUGAAGCCUGGUGCCAGAUGUGU